AUGAAACCGUCCUUUGAAAUUGAAUGUUAUCAUCAAUUUCUUCAACUCAAUCGUUCUCCUCAAUGCGAUAAUAAUUAGAUUCUUCAAUAUAAUCGUUCCUCCGCUCAUCCCAAAUCAUGCCUUGUUUCACUAAUCAAUUCAUCCCCGCUCGCUCCCAUUUCUACCCCUGCUCUCUUUUCAUCGCACAACACACACCUGCCACAUCAUCCAUUAUGAGUUGCAAGACCUCAAUUCGAUUCAUGAGUUUAAUUUUCAAUCAAGUGAAUGUCCAAAUUAAAUCCGUUGAAACUGCUGUCUCUUUGUUUCCCUUUGAAUUGAAAGAGUGGGAGGUUAGAAGUAGAGACAGAGAGAAGUAGGGAAGCAGCUGUUGGUUUCUAAAGCAACCGAUGGAAACGGAUGUUUCCUCCGGCCAACGGGAUCUUGAUUUCGUCAUUCGGUUUCAGCCUGUUGUUGAAGUUUCACUCAAACAACACGAUUUGACAGGGUUGAAGCUUACAAGUACCGUUAUCCUGCAGAUCUAAGUUCUUACUUUCCCUAAAUUUUUUGUCUACCUUUUGUUGACACAGAUUCUAUGAAGAAAAUAACUUGUAUAUGAUUUGGUUUUAUCUAAUUCUUACUUUUUAUAUAUGUUUUUGUGUGUACUGAUGAUGCAGGGUUUUUUCAAUAUAUUCUUUUGUAGUGAUAUUUGCAAUGAUACUAGGGCUUGGUUCAAAUGCUUUCUCGGACAAGGUAGAUUCAUUGCGAAAAAAAGGAAUAGUUAAGUGAUUGAAAGCAACCACAUACUCUUUCUUGGAUGGAGUGACAAAUUGGCUUAUUUACCAAGUUAUAUGGAGAAAAUGAUCAAAGGGUUGGAAUGGACAUGUGCUCUCUACCUUACGCAAAGUGCGCAAAAGGCCACAAGUGCAUUUUUCAACUUAGGAAAACAUUGAAAACAUAUUCAAACUCUACUCGCUUUGCUCUUGCAUGCAACACAUCUUCUAAAAUAACCGAGCUCAUCCAGAGUAAGUGUGCACUUGUACGGUUUCCCAAGGUUGUGGUUGAUGCUAAAAAGGUAAUUAUUUGUGCUACUGCAAAAAAAAAAAAAACGUUUUGUUUUGAUCGAUGGGGAUGAUGUUAUUUAUUUGCGUUAACAAUAAGUUUCUAUCCUUUCUUCAUAUCUAUUAUAAAUGUGAUAGAUGCAUAAUUGGUUAAUAUUUAUUACUGAUGUAGGUGCUUUAUGUCCCAAAUGGUCUUGAAAUGAUUAAUUGCACCUGGAGUUGUUGAAUCAUUUGCUCAAGUUUGUUCAGAAGUGGUGCAAUGGAUCCCUUAAUGGAUUCAUAUAUUGAGAGAAUGCAAGCAACAUGGGUAAACUUGCAAAAAUGAAUUUUGAGUCCAUACGGGUCGGUUUAAAAAAAAAAAAAAAAAAAAAAAACUAUCCAGCUGGUGGUGGCGGUAACGGUGACGGUCCGACGAGACAUUUAUACAAAAUCACAUUCCCUUAAAAAAACUAAAACUACUGAAAAAAUUAUAGUUUGCAGGUAAUAUUUAUGUUGAUAUGAUGGUGAUAUUUUUCUACACGCCCUUCGCUUCCGGUCCCAGCCCCUCUAUUGGCUAGGGAAGAUCAAGGAUAGGCGAGAUGGCGUACCAAGGAGGAGGUAACCUGAAGUCGACCUUCAUUGAUAGAGUGAAGAUGUAUACGGUGGUGGGACCGCUUGCUAGCCACAUGGCUACCACCGAAUAAGCUUAGACCUCUUCGCAAAGGCAAAAGUACUGAUUUUGUUGAUUGUUUUAAUUUUCUUUAGUAAAAAAUGAAAGGUUUACUAGAUAAAUAUGCGUACAUGUAAAACAGUUGAGAAAGAUGUAGUUCCCGAUAGUUAAAUAAAGCUUAUUAUUUUGUAGUACAUUGACACACACCUCACAUACGUAAUGCGCGCCUUAGAUUUUGGGACCAAAACGCCUUCCAUUAAUUGAAACCAAGCUCCACCCACAUAAAAAGACAUUUUUUUUUCGUUCAGAUUGAUCUUAUAAUAAACUUUUCAAACCGUAUAACAUGAUGUCGAUGCACCUAUUGAAACAGAAAUAAUAAGGCUAAUUGUCUAAAAGUUCGUUAGACAUAUAAUAUUAGUUGCUAAUUGUAUUGUUUGUGUUUUUACCUAAUUCAGAG